CUGCAUAUUUGAUGGCUAAAGUUGACACCCCUGUAGAUGCUACAGAGGGAAACUGUAAGUGCUCACAAGCCAAGGUCUAUUGCUCUGGGAUCCAGGUAACAGAAAAGGUCUAUAAAGAGACUGAAAUUAAGUUAUAAGCCUUUUCUCCACAAGCACUUGGAACACUCUCUUAAAUUACUCCCAAUCCUGAACUUGAUUCAAUACCUUGGGAACAACCAAAUAAAUAUAUAUAAAAAAACCUGCCAUUCAAUA